rnacentral:rRNA from 1 species
GACAGAGGGGGCAAGCGUUGCUCGGAAUUACUGGGCGUAAAGGGCGCGUAGGCGGGAUGGCAAGUCGGUCGUGAAAUCCCUCGGCUCAACCGAGGAACGUCGAUCGAUACUGCUGUUCUUGAGGAUUGCAGAGGAGACUGGAAUUCCCGGUGUAGCGGUGAAAUGUGUAGAGAUCGGGAGGAACACCGGUGGCGAAGGCGGGUCUCUGGUCUGUAACUGACGCUGAGGCGCGAAAGCGUGGGGAGCAAACAGG